rnacentral:rRNA from 1 species
UACGGAGGAUCCAAGCGUUAUCCGGAUUUAUUGGGUUUAAAGGGUGCGUAGGCGGAAUGAUAAGUCAGAGGUGAAACCCUACAGCUUAACUGUAGAACUGCCUUUGAUACUGUCAAUCUUGAGUAUAUUUGAUGUGGGCGGAAUGUGUCAUGUAGCGGUGAAAUGCUUAGAUAUGACACAGAACACCGAUUGCGAAGGCAGCUCACAAAACUAUAACUGACGCUGAGGCACGAAAGCGUGGGUAUCAAACAGG